GAUGAACGCUGGCGGCAGGCCUAACACAUGCAAGUCGAGCGGUUGAGGUAGCUUGCUACCGAUGCAGCGGCGGACGGGUGAGUAAUACAUGGGAAUCUGCCUGGUAGUGGGGGACAACGUUUCGAAAGGAACGCUAAUACCGCAUACGCCCUACGGGGAAAGGGGGGAGUCUUCGGACCUCUCGCUAUCAGAUGAGCCCAUGUCGGAUUAGCUUGUUGGUGAGGUAAAGGCUCACCAAGCCGACGAUCUGUAGCUGGUCUGAGAGGACGACCAGCCACACUGGGACUGAGACACGGCCCAGACUCCUACGGGAGGCAGCAGUGGGGAAUUUUGGACAAUGGGCGCAAGCCUGAUCCAGCAAUGCCGCGUGCAGGAUGAAGGCC
rnacentral:rRNA from 1 species